UACGUAGGGUGCGAGCGUUGUCCGGAAUUAUUGGGCGUAAAGAGCUUGUAGGCGGUUUGUCGCGUCUGCCGUGAAAGUCCGGGGCUCAACUCCGGAUCUGCGGUGGGUACGGGCAGACUAGAGUGAUGUAGGGGAGACUGGAAUUCCUGGUGUAGCGGUGAAAUGCGCAGAUAUCAGGAGGAACACCGAUGGCGAAGGCAGCUCGCUGGGACGGUACUGACGCUGAGGCGCGAAAGCGUGGGGAGCAAACAGG
rnacentral:rRNA from 1 species